rnacentral:tRNA from 1 species
GGCGCUGUGGCACAUUGGGUUAAUGCCCUGGCCUGAAGCACCAUCAUCCCAUAUGGGCGCCAGGUUCUAGUCCUGGCUGCUCCA